GAUGAACGCUGACAGAAUGCUUAACACAUGCAAGUCAACUUGAAUUUGGGUUUUUAACUUAGAUUUGGGUGGCGGACGGGUGAGUAACGCAUAAAGAACUUGCCUCACAGCUAGGGACAACAUUUAGAAAUGAAUGCUAAUACCUGAUAUUAUGAUUUUAAGGCAUCUUAGAAUUAUGAAAGCUAUAAGCACUGUGAGAGAGCUUUGCGUCCCAUUAGCUAGUUGGAGAGGUAACAGCUCACCAAGGCGAUGAUGGGUAGCCGGCCUGAGAGGGUGAACGGCCACAAGGGGACUGAGACACGGCCCUUACUCCUACGGGAGGCAGCAGUGGGGAAUAUUGGACAAUGGACCGAGAGUCUGAUCCAGCAAUUCUGUGUGCACGAUGAAGUUUUUCGGAAUGUAAAGUGCUUUCAGUUGGGAAGAAAGAAAUGACGGUACCAACAGAAGAAGUGACGGCUAAAUACGUGCCAGCAGCCGCGGUAAUACGUAUGUCACGAGCGUUAUCCGGAUUUAUUGGGCGUAAAGCGCGUCUAGGUGGUUAUGUAAGUCUGAUGUGAAAAUGCAGGGCUCAACUCUGUAUUGCGUUGGAAACUGUAUAACUAGAGUACUGGAGAGGUAAGCGGAACUACAAGUGUAGAGGUGAAAUUCGUAGAUAUUUGUAGGAAUGCCGAUGGGGAAGCCAGCUUACUGGACAGAUACUGACGCUAAAGCGCGAAAGCGUGGGUAGCAAACAGG
rnacentral:rRNA from 1 species